rnacentral:rRNA from 1 species
AUAUCAAAGGGAGCUUUUGCUUCUUUCUUUGGAUAGAGUUCGCCAACUUGGUGAGUAACGCGUAGGUAACCUGCCUUGUAGCGGGGGAUAACUAUUGGAAACGAUAGCUAAUACCGCAUAACAAUGGAUGACACAUGUCAUUUAUUUGAAAGGGGCAAUUGCUCCACUACAAGAUGGACCUGCGUUGUAUUAGCUAGUAGGUGAGGUAACGGCUCACCUAGGCGACGAUACAUAGCCGACCUGAGAGGGUGAUCGGCCACACUGGGACUGAGACACGGCCCAGACUCCUACGGGAGGCAGCAGUAGGGAAUCUUCGGCAAUGGGGGCAACCCUGACCGAGCAACGCCGCGUGAGUGAAGAAGGUUUUCGGAUCGUAAAGCUCUGUUGUAAGUCAAGAACGAGUGUGAGAGUGGAAAGUUCACACUGUGACGGUAGCUUACCAGAAAGGGACGGCUAACUACGUGCCAGCAGCCGCGGUAAUACGUAGGUCCCGAGCGUUGUCCGGAUUUAUUGGGCGUAAAGCGAGCGCAGGCGGUUUGAUAAGUCUGAAGUUAAAGGCUGUGGCUCAACCAUAGUUCGCUUUGGAAACUGUCAAACUUGAGUGCAGAAGGGGAGAGUGGAAUUCCAUGUGUAGCGGUGAAAUGCGUAGAUAUAUGGAGGAACACCGGUGGCGAAAGCGGCUCUCUGGUCUGUAACUGACGCUGAGGCUCGAAAGCGUGGGGAGCGAACAGGAUUAGAUACCCUGGUAGUCCACGCCGUAAACGAUGAGUGCUAGGUGUUGGAUCCUUUCCGGGAUUCAGUGCCGCAGCUAACGCAUUAAGCACUCCGCCUGGGGAGUACGACCGCAAGGUUGAAACUCAAAGGAAUUGACGGGGGCCCGCACAAGCGGUGGAGCAUGUGGUUUAAUUCGAAGCAACGCGAAGAACCUUACCAGGUCUUGACAUCCCGAUGCUAUUUCUAGAGAUAGAAAGUUACUUCGGUACAUCGGUGACAGGUGGUGCAUGGUUGUCGUCAGCUCGUGUCGUGAGAUGUUGGGUUAAGUCCCGCAACGAGCGCAACCCCUAUUGUUAGUUGCCAUCAUUCAGUUGGGCACUCUAGCGAGACUGCCGGUAAUAAACCGGAGGAAGGUGGGGAUGACGUCAAAUCAUCAUGCCCCUUAUGACCUGGGCUACACACGUGCUACAAUGGUUGGUACAACGAGUUGCGAGUCGGUGACGGCAAGCUAAUCUCUUAAAGCCAAUCUCAGUUCGGAUUGUAGGCUGCAACUCGCCUACAUGAAGUCGGAAUCGCUAGUAAUCGCGGAUCAGCACGCCGCGGUGAAUACGUUCCCGGGCCUUGUACACACCGCCCGUCACACCACGAGAGUUUGUAACCCCUCGGAAAGUUCAGGGGAUG